rnacentral:rRNA from 1 species
UGGUGGGUAGUUUGACUGGGGCGGUCUCCUCCCAAAGAGUAACGGAGGAGCACGAAGGUUGGCUAAUCCUGGUCGGACAUCAGGAGGUUAGUGCAAUGGCAUAAGCCAGCUUGACUGCGAGCGUGACGGCGCGAGCAGGUGCGAAAGCAGGUCAUAGUGAUCCGGUGGUUCUGAAUGGAAGGGCCAUCGCUCAACGGAUAAAAGGUACUCCGGGGAUAACAGGCUGAUACCGCCCAAGAGUUCAUAUCGACGGCGGUGUUUGGCACCUCGAUGUCGGCUCAUCACAUCCUGGGGCUGAAGUAGGUCCCAAGGGUAUGGCUGUUCGCCAUUUAAAGUGGUACGCGAGCUGGGUUUAGAACGUCGUGAGACAGUUCGGUCCCUAUCUGCCGUGGGCGCUGGAGAAUUGAGGGGGGCUGCUCCUAGUACGAGAGGACCGGAGUGGACGCAUCACUGGUGUUCGGGUUGUCAUGCCAAUGGCACUGCCCGGUAGCUAAAUGCGGAAGAGAUAAGUGCUGAAAGCAUCUAAGCACGAAACUUGCCCCGAGAUGAGU